GACGAACGCUGGCGGCGUGCUUAACACAUGCAAGUCGAGCGGUAAGGCCCUUUCGGGGGUACGACGAGCGGCGAACGGGUGAGUAACACGUGGGUGACCUGCCCUCCAGCUCUGGGAUAAGACCUGGGAAACCGGGGUCGUAAUACUGGAUAUGACUCCAUGACGCAUGUUGUGGGGUGGAAAGCCUUGUGCGGCUGAGGAUGGGCCCGCGGCCUAUCAGCUUGUUGGUGGGGUGAUGGCCUACCAAGGCGACGACGGGUAGCCGG
rnacentral:rRNA from 1 species